AGAAACAACAGGCUCGCAUCAGUUCACAAGCAUUUCAAGUAACACGGCUGAAAAUCAGAGUCAGCUGUGGGCUUGACGUCGCCUGCCAAGCGUUACCUAAACCGAUUAUUUUCCUUCGACUAAUGAGAACUUAGCGAUGCUCGAUGUUUGUUUGCACGACGUGGCGUCUGACAUCUGUUAAGUAAUAUCUUGGAUGAGGUCAAGUCGUAUAAAAAGUUCUGUUUUUGUUUUACAGAUUUCAUAAGGCCGAUCAGAAGAAGAAAAAAAAAAAGGCUUUAUGGGACCGGUCCAUGUUUAUUAGAGGAGUGGAAUCCAUUGUGUUAAAAUAUUAAAGUCCGCACAGCCGAAGUGGAAAAGUCAUUAAAAUCAAAGCUUGAAUGUAUGAUACGUGAAUCAGAAUCCAGUGCAAACAAUUUCCCGCUCCAUAUGUGCGACGCUGGGAGAAACAAAAUUCCUAACCCAUGCAUCAACAUUCAGUCGUUUGUUGGUUAAUCCUGCAAAAAUCACACAAAAACACGAUGAAGUCUGUGGUUGUGACCUGACAAAAUGUGAAGUAUUCAGGCGAUACAGGCGUUUUCCUAAACACUGCUGUUGUGUCUGCUAAGGAGGAAAGAAACCAUGUUGUUGAGUGAGAUGUGAGUCAUUUAAGCUGGAACA